AGAUACCCUAUUAUUUUUAUUGUAAAUAUUAAAACCUGAGUAUUAGUAGUUAUGACCUUGAAACUUAAAGAAUUUGGCGGUAUUAUAGUCUAUUUAGAGGAAUCUGUUAUGUAAUCGAUAAUCCGCGCUGAAUCUUACUUAUAUUAUUUCUUGUAUACCGCUGUUUAUGAAUAUGCUUUAAGGCAAAUUUUCUUGAUAUGUUAUUUAAUAGAAUUUCAAGUCAAGGUGCAGUUAUAUAUAAGUUGAAUAAUGGAUUACAAUAAAUUGUAUUUAUUAUGGAUGGUUAUUUUGAUAUAAUCUGAAGGUGGAUUUAACUGUAAUUUUAUGAAGAUUGUUAAAAUGAUUAAUAGCUCUAUAAUAUGCACACAUCGCCCG
rnacentral:rRNA from 1 species